rnacentral:rRNA from 1 species
CUGGUCCUCAACAGGGGACAUGUGCACGCUCUGUUUACACAUCCACUCACACCUGUGCACCCUCUGUAGUUCUAUGGUCUGGGGGGCCCUGCCUCCCUUCUGUGGUUCUGCAUAUUUACACACACAAUGUAACAAAGUCUUAUGGAAUGUACAUCGCGUUUAACGCAAUACAAUACAACUUUCAGCAACGGAUCUCUUGGCUCUCGCAUCGAUGAAGAACGCAGCGAAAUGCGAUAAGUAAUGUGAAUUGCAGAAUUCAGUGAAUCAUCGAAUCUUUGAACGCACCUUGCGCCCCUUGGCUAUUCCGAAGGGCAUGCCUGUUUGAGUAUCAUGAACACCUCAACUCCCGUGGUUUGCCAUGGUGAGCUUGGACUUUGGAGGUUUUGCUGGCCCAUGGUCAGCUCCUCUCAAAUGAAUUAGCCUGCCAGUGUUUGGUGGCAUCACAGGUGUGAUAAAUAUCUACGCUUGCGAUUGC